UGGUGGAGUGAUUUGUCUGGUUAAUUCCGUUAACGAACGAGACCCCUGCCUGCUAAAUAGCCCAGUGAGUGAUUUUCACUGACCAGGGCUUCUUAGAGGGACGUGCGUUCUAUUAGACGCAGGAAGACAGGGGCAAUAACA
rnacentral:rRNA from 1 species